rnacentral:rRNA from 1 species
CCCCUGUGAGGGGAGUGAAAUAGAACCUGAAACCGUGUACGUACAAGCAGUAGGAGCCCUUCGAGGGUGACUGCGUACCUUUUGUAUAAUGGGUCAGCGACUUAUAUUUUGUAGCGAGGUUAACCGAAUAGGGUAGCCGUAGUGAAAGCGAGCGUUAACUGCGCGUUGAGUUGCAAGGUAUAGACCCGAAACCCGGUGAUCUAGCCAUGGGCAGGUUGAAGGUUGAGUAACAUCAACUGGAGGACCGAACCCACUAACGUUGAAAAGUUAGGGGAUGACCUGUGGCUAGGAGUGAAAGGCUAAUCAAACCGGGAGAUAGCUGGUUCUCCCCGAAAUCUAUUUAGGUAGAGCCUCGGACGAAUACCAUUGGGGGUAGAGCACUGUUUGGGCUAGGGGGUCAUCCCGACUUACCAACCCCAUGCAAACUCCGAAUACCAAUGAGUACUAUCCGGGAGACACACGGCGGGUGCUAACGUCCGUCGUGGAGAGGGAAACAACCCAGACCGCCAGCUAAGGUCCCAAAGUGUAUGUUAAGUGGGAAACGAUGUGGGAAGGCUAAAACAGCUAGGAGGUUGGCUUAGAAGCAGCCACCCUUUAAAGAAAGCGUAAUAGCUCACUAGUCGAGUCGGCCUGCGCGGAAGAUGUAACGGGGCUAAACAUACCACCGAAGCUGCGGCUGCGAACUUAGUUCGCGGGGUAGGGGAGCGUUGUGUAAGUGGCUGAAGGUGUGCCGGGAGGCAUGCUGGACAUAUCACAAGUGCGAAUGCUGACAUGAGUAACGAUAAUGCGGGUGAAAAACCCGCACGCCGGAAGACCAAGGGUUCCUAUCCCAUGUUAAUCAGGGUAGGGUGAGUCGACCCCUAAGGCGAGGCCGAAAGGCGUAGUCGAUGGGAAACGGGUUAAUAUUCCCGUACUUGGUAUAAAUGCGAUGGGGGGACGGAGAAGGCUAGGCAGGCACGGCGUUGGUUGUCCGUGUGAAAGUAUGUAGGCUUGAAUCUUAGGAAAAUCCGGGAUUCUUUAAGGCUGAGAUACGAGACGACACUCUACGGAGUGGAAGCUGUUGGUGCCAUACUUCCAGGAAAAGCCUCUAAGCUUCAGUUUAUACCGAAUCGUACCCCAAACCGACACAGGUGGUCAGGUAGAGAAUACUAAGGCGCUUGAGAGAACUCGGGUGAAGGAACUAGGCAAAAUAGUACCGUAACUUCGGGAGAAGGUACGCUCCUACCUGUGAUGAGACUUGCUCUCUAAGCGGACGGGAGUCGCAGUGACCAGGUGGCUGGGACUGUUUAUUAAAAACACAGCACUGUGCUAAAUCGCGAGAUGACGUAUACGGUGUGACACCUGCCCGGUGCCGGAAGGUUAAUUGAUGGGGUUAGUCCUCGGACGAAGCUCUUGAUCGAAGCCCCGGUAAACGGCGGCCGUAACUAUAACGGUCCUAAGGUAGCGAAAUUCCUUGUCGGGUAAGUUCCGACCUGCACGAAUGGUGUAACCAUGGCCACGCUGUCUCCACCCGAGACUCAGUGAAAUUGAAAUCGCAGUGAAGAUGCUGUGUACCCGCGGCUAGACGGAAAGACCCCGUGAACCUUUACUACAGCUUGGCACUGAACAUUGAGCCUACAUGUGUAGGAUAGGUGGGAGGCUUUGAAGC